AAUUCUCUAGUAUAAUAAGUACAGUUGACUUCCAAUCAACCAGUUUUGGUAACAACCCAGAGAGAAAUA
rnacentral:tRNA from 1 species